AAGCCCAUGUCAAACACCUACAUUAACAACUCAUAUUCAAGAAUGAUGCAAGUAGCUACAUAUCAAAGAGGAGGGGCUCUUCGUGACAAGAACCAUGGUUACCUUGCAAUACUAUUAGCAGGAGCUUGCAUGUCCAAAUCUUCCAAAGCAAAUGGCAUGAAGCUCUCUGAAAUGAGAUCUCCAGAGCAGAGGCUCCUCAAUCUCUCUUUCUCCAAAGAGCAAAUAAUUGUUCCAGGAAUCAGAAUUAAGAUAAACUAGGGAAGUUGAGUUAAGAUGAGAUCUUGGCAUGUUAAAAGGUACUAGAAAGUGAGAUAAUGCAUUUGGACUGAGUGAGAUGGAGGAAGGCCAGCUCUGAGGUUUCCCUGGACUGUGGGGGGUCUUCAAGAGUGCAAAUAGCAUGUCAGUCCCAGACACCAGUUUCCUUCACCACCCUCUUUCCCAUGGCAGCCACUUAACAAUAUGAAUUCGCUUCCUAUCAAAUUGCUUGUCAUCAGUUUAGCUCCUUCCCAAAGGCCAGCAUCUAUAAUUCAUACUUUAAUGCAAUGUGAAGAUUGGUGAAAAGAACCAAAAUUUUUUGAAAGUCAAGGUAUUAGGUAUCUGAGAAGCCAUUUUACCUAUGAUCCAAAGAAAUUGAAUUCUAGAAUUUAUGUGCAUGUGAGUCUUAACAAUGUCAGAAAAACUCUGUGGCAAAAUUCAUUGACUAUGACUUCAAAAUGCAUGUAAAGAGAAACAAGUCAUAUUUGCUUUUGUUCUUUAGUCUAUGUCAUACAUAGAUAAUAGGCACAGGUUAAUUUCUGUUCAUAGUUAAUUUUUAAACACAAAUUUUAGUAUUUUUCCACUGGUUAUCCUGGGU